rfam:Danio rerio chromosome 9, GRCz11 reference primary assembly.
GCCCCAGUGGCCUAAUGCAUAAGGCACUGGCCUCCUAAGCCAGGGAAUGUGGGUUUGAGUUCCAUCUGGGGUG